UUUCUUGACCUUGUAAGACCC
rnacentral:siRNA from 1 species